UGCUACCUGACCUAGCGGCGGACGGGUGAGUAAUGCUUAGGAAUCUGCCUAUUAGUGGGGGACAACAUUCCGAAAGGAAUGCUAAUACCGCAUACGCCCUACGGGGGAAAGCAGGGGAUCUUCGGACCUUGCGCUAAUAGAUGAGCCUAAGUCAGAUUAGCUAGUUGGUGGGGUAAAGGCCUACCAAGGCGACGAUCUGUAGCGGGUCUGAGAGGAUGAUCCGCCACACUGGGACUGAGACACGGCCCAGACUCCUACGGGAGGCAGCAGUGGGGAAUAUUGGACAAUGGGCGAAAGCCUGAUCCAGCCAUGCCGCGUGUGUGAAGAAGGCCUUUUGGUUGUAAAGCACUUUAAGCGAGGAGGAGGCUACUGAGAUUAAUACUCUUGGAUAGUGGACGUUACUCGCAGAAUAAGCACCGGCUAACUCUGUGCCAGCAGCCGCGGUAAUACAGAGGGUGCGAGCGUUAAUCGGAUUUACUGGGCGUAAAGCGUGCGUAGGCGGCUUUUUAAGUCGGAUGUGAAAUCCNUGAGCUUAACUUAGGAAUUGCAUUCGAUACUGGGAAGCUAGAGUAUGGGAGAGGAUGGUAGAAUUCCAGGUGUAGCGGUGAAAUGCGUAGAGAUCUGGAGGAAUACCGAUGGCGAAGGCAGCCAUCUGGCCUAAUACUGACGCUGAGGUACGAAAGCAUGGGGAGCAAACAGGAUUAGAUACCCUGGUAGUCCAUGCCGUAAACGAUGUCUACUAGCCGUCGGGGCCUUUGGGGCUUUAGUGGCGCAGCUAACGCGAUAAGUAGACCGCCUGGGGAGUACGGUCGCAAGACUAAAACUCAAAUGAAUUGACGGGGGCCCGCACAAGCGGUGGAGCAUGUGGUUUAAUUCGAUGCAACGCGAAGAACCUUACCUGGUCUUGACAUAGUAAGAACUUUCCAGAGAUGGAUUGGUGCCUUCGGGAACUUACAUACAGGUGCUGCAUGGCUGUCGUCAGCUCGUGUCGUGGGAUGUUGGGUUAAGUCCCGCAACGAGCGCAACCCUUUUCCUUAUUUGCCAGCGGGUUAAGCCGGGAACUUUAAGGAUACUGCCAGUGACAAACUGGAGGAAGGCGGGGACGACGUCAAGUCAUCAUGGCCCUUACGACCAGGGCUACACACGUGCUACAAUGGUCGGUACAAAGGGUUGCUACCUAGCGAUAGGAUGCUAAUCUCAAAAAGCCGAUCGUAGUCCGGAUUGGAGUCUGCAACUC
rnacentral:rRNA from 1 species